rnacentral:rRNA from 1 species
GAUGAACGCUGGCGGCGUGCCUAAUACAUGCAAGUCGAGCGAACGGACGAGAAGCUUGCUUCUCUGAUGUUAGCGGCGGACGGGUGAGUAACACGUGGAUAACCUACCUAUAAGACUGGGAUAACUUCGGGAAACCGGAACUAAUACCGGAUAAUAUUUUGAACCGCAUGGUUCAAAAGUGAAAGACGGUCUUGCUGUCACUUAUAGAUGGAUCCGCGCUGCAUUAGCUAGUUGGUAAGGUAACGGCUUACCAAGGCAACGAUGCAUAGCCGACCUGAGAGGGUGAUCGGCCACACUGGAACUGAGACACGGUCCAGACUCCUACGGGAGGCAGCAGCAGGGAAUCUUCCGCAAUGGGCGAAAGCCUGACGGAGCAACGCCGCGUGAGUGAUGAAGGUCUUCGGAUCGUAAAACUCUGUUAUUAGGGAAGAACAUAUGUGUAAGUAACUGUGCACAUCUUGACGGUACCUAAUCAGAAAGCCACGGCUAACUACGUG